rnacentral:tRNA from 1 species
GUCCAGGGUAGCCUAGUGGACAUGGCAUCUGCCCGGUAAGCGGAACACUGUGGGUUCGAUUCCAUCACUGGACA